rnacentral:rRNA from 1 species
CCCUUAGAUGUUCUGGGCCGCACGCGCGCUAAACUGAUGCAUUCAACGAGUUUCUUCCUGGUCCGAGAGGAAUGGGUAACCUUUUGAAAGUGCAUCGUGAUAGGGAUAGACUAUUGCAAUUAUUGGUCUUCAACGAGGAAUUCCUAGUAGACGUAGUUCAUCAGACUGCAUCGAUUACGUCCCUGCCCUUUGUACACACCGCCCGUCGCUCCUACCGAUUGAAUGCUCAGGUGAGCCAUUCGGACUUUCAUCAUGCUGGUUUCCAGUUUUGAUGAAGGAAAGUCUUGCGAACCUUAUCAUUUAGAGGAAGGAGAAGUCGUAACA